AGUGAACGCUGGCGGUAGGCCUAACACAUGCAAGUCGAACGGCAGCACAGUAAGAGCUUGCUCUUACGGGUGGCGAGUGGCGGACGGGUGAGGAAUACAUCGGAAUCUACUUUUUCGUGGGGGAUAACGUAGGGAAACUUACGCUAAUACCGCAUACGCCCUACGGGUGAAAGCAUGGGAUCUUCGGACCUUGCGCGGUUGAAUGAGCCGAUGUCGGGUUAGCUAGUUGGCGGGGUAAAGGCCCACCAAGGCGACGAUCCGUAGCUGGUCUGAGAGGAUGAUCAGCCACACUGGAACUGAGACACGGUCCAGACUCCUACGGGAGGCAGCAGUGGGGAAUAUUGGACAAUGGGCGCAAGCCUGAUCCAGCCAUACCGCGUGGGUGAAGAAGGCCUUCGGGUUGUAAAGCCCUUUUGUUGGGAAAGAAAAGCAGCAGGUUAAUACCCCGCUGUUCUGACGGUACCCAAAGAAUAAGCACCGGCUAACUUCGUG
rnacentral:rRNA from 1 species